rnacentral:rRNA from 1 species
CAUCAUUUAAAGAAAGCGUAAUAGCUCACUGGUCGAGUCGGCCUGCGCGGAAGAUGUAACGGGGCUAAACUGUGCACCGAAGCUGCGGCAGCGACACUAUGUGUUGUUGGGUAGGGGAGCGUUCUGUAAGCCUGCGAAGGUGGCCUGUGAGGGUUGCUGGAGGUAUCAGAAGUGCGAAUGCUGACAUAAGUAACGAUAAUGCGGGUGAAAAGCCCGCACGCCGGAAGACCAAGGGUUCCUGUCCAACGUUAAUCGGGGCAGGGUGAGUCGACCCCUAAGGCGAGGCCGAAAGGCGUAGUCGAUGGGAAACAGGUUAAUAUUCCUGUACUUGGUGUUACUGCGAAGGGGGGACGGAGAAGGCUAUGUUAGCCGGGCGACGGUUGUCCCGGUUUAAGCAUGUAGGCGGAGGUUCCAGGUAAAUCCGGUACCUUUUUAACGCUGAGGUGUGAUGACGAGGCACUACGGUGCUGAAGUAACAAAUGCCCUGCUUCCAGGAAAAGCCUCUAAGCAUCAGGUAACAUUAAAUCGUACCCCAAACCGACACAGGUGGUCAGGUAGAGAAUACCAAGGCGCUUGAGAGAACUCGGGUGAAGGAACUAGGCAAAAUGGUGCCGUAACUUCGGGAGAAGGCACGCUGAUAUGUAGGUGAAGCCCCUGCGGGUGGAGCUGAAAUCAGUCGAAGAUACCAGCUGGCUGCAACUGUUUAUUAAAAACACAGCACUGUGCAAACACGAAAGUGGACGUAUACGGUGUGACGCCUGCCCGGUGCCGGAAGGUUAAUUGAUGGGGUUAUCCGUAAGGAGAAGCUCUUGAUCGAAGCCCCGGUAAACGGCGGCCGUAACUAUAACGGUCCUAAGGUAGCGAAAUUCCUUGUCGGGUAAGUUCCGACCUGCACGAAUGGCGUAAUGAUGGCCAGGCUGUCUCCACCCGAGACUCAGUGAAAUUGAACUCGCUGUGAAGAUGCAGUGUACCCGCGGCAAGACGGAAAGACCCCGUGAACCUUUACUAUAGCUUGACACUGAACAUUGAGCCUUGAUGUGUAGGAUAGGUGGGAGGCUUUGAAGCGUGGACGCCAGUCUGCGUGGAGCCAACCUUGAAAUACCACCCUUUAAUGUUUGAUGUUCUAACGUUGGCCCCUUAUCGGGGUUGCGGACAGUGUCUGGUGGGUAGUUUGACUGGGGCGGUCUCCUCCCAAAGAGUAACGGAGGAGCACGAAGGUUAGCUAAUCCUGGUCGGACAUCAGGAGGUUAGUGCAAUGGCAUAAGCUAGCUUGACUGCGAGCGUGACGGCGCGAGCAGGUGCGAAAGCAGGUCAUAGUGAUCCGGUGGUUCUGAAUGGAAGGGCCAUCGCUCAACGGAUAAAAGGUACUCCGGGGAUAACAGGCUGAUACCGCCCAAGAGUUCAUAUCGACGGCGGUGUUUGGCACCUCGAUGUCGGCUCAUCACAUCCUGGGGCUGAAGUAGGUCCCAAGGGUAUGGCUGUUCGCCAUUUAAAGUGGUACGCGAGCUGGGUUUAGAACGUCGUGAGACAGUUCGGUCCCUAUCUGCCGUGGGCGCUGGAGAAUUGAGGGGGGCUGCUCCUAGUACGAGAGGACCGGAGUGGACGCAUCACUGGUGUUCGGGUUGUCAUGCCAAUGGCAUUGCCCGGUAGCUAAAUGCGGAAGAGAUAAGUGCUGAAAGCAUCUAAGCACGAAACUUGCCCCGAGAUGAGUUCUCCCUGAGACUUAAAGUCUCCUGAAGGAACGUUAAAGACGAUGACGUUGAUAGGUCGGGUGUGUAAGCGUAGCGAUACGUUGAGCUAACCGAUACUAAUGAACCGUGAGGCUUAACCUU